rnacentral:rRNA from 1 species
CCUACGGGAGGCAGCAGUGAGGAAUAUUGGUCAAUGGGCGCAAGCCUGAACCAGCCAAGCCGCGUGAGGGAUGAAGGCUCUAUGGAUCGUAAACCUCUUUUGUAAGGGAAUAAAGGGCGGGACGUGUCCCGGUUUGUAAGUACCGUAUGAAUAAGGAUCGGCUAACUCCGUGCCAGCAGCCGCGGGAAUACGGAGGAUCAGAGCGUUAUCCGGAUUUAUUGGGUUUAAAGGGUGCGUAGGCGGUCUUUUAAGUCAGCGGUGAAAGUCUGGGGCUAAACGAUCGAAUUGCCGUUGAAACUGGGCGGCUUGAGUGUGGUUGAGGCAGGCGGAAUGCGUGGUGUAGCGGUGAAAUGCUUAGAUAUCACGCAGAACCCCGAUUGCGAAGGCAGCCUGCCAAGCCAUGACUGACGUUGAUGCACGAAAGCGUGGGGAGCAAACAGGAUUAGAUACCCGGGUAGUC